rnacentral:miRNA from 2 species
UAUUAUGUUGGUGCAAAAGUAAUUGCGGUUUUUGCCAUUACUUUUAAUGCAAAACUGCAAUUACUUUUGCACCUACCUAAUA